UACGUAGGGGGCUAGCGUUGUCCGGAAUCAUUGGGCGUAAAGCGCGUGUAGGCGGUCCGGUAAGUCCGCUGUGAAAGUCGGGGCUCAACCCUCGAAUGCCGGUGGAUACUGUCAGACUAGAGUACGGAAGAGGCGAGUGGAAUUCCUGGUGUAGCGGUGAAAUGCGCAGAUAUCAGGAGGAACACCCAUUGCGAAGGCAGCUCGCUGGGACGUUACUGACGCUGAGACGCGAAAGCGUGGGGAGCAAACAGG
rnacentral:rRNA from 1 species